UUGGCCAAGGUCCCAUAGGGUGUCGGCAGCACUGUCACAGCCAGGGCUUCUGGCCCAAACUACACUGAUUUCUACCUUGGAUCUCCUGACCAGAAUCCCACACGACAGAUGCUGGGCCAGGCCCCGUGCUGGCCUAGGGUCGAGGAAGAGGAAGGCCCUCCAGCCUGGCGGCCUCUGAGGCUGGCGGAAAGAGGGAGGUGGUGUGGAGUCAGGCAGGCAGCACGCCUGGACACUGAACUUCCUCACGGAGCUCGCCAGGGAAGGGCAGGCAGAUGACAGACAGCGUGUGAGUUAAAAACAACCAAGCAAGCAAACCGAAGGAAUGUGGACUGGCCUCUUACUGGACUGAAGUGGUUGACCCGAGAUGGACCUCGCCGAGCCUGGGUCUCCUCCCGCAGUGAGUGGAUGAUCCAUCCUUCACACAAUCUCAAACCACGUCUUUCCAGUGGGAUUGAUUCUCAAUAUGGAUGUGUGAAUUAACCUAAGCCAAUGAGAGCCUUUCCUGGUAUUUUUGCCUCAUCUGUGGAAAAGGAGUGCUGUAUUUCCACUGUAGCUACCAAGCUGGGAGGAUGUAUGCCAGAUCUUUGCCAUUGUAAAGGAAGAACUUGCCUGAGAAUAAAGCCCAUGCAGGAGAAACCAGAGCCAAAGAUGGAGAGAGUCACA